UGUACCAUCUCUUGAAGCCUCCCUUCUUGCUGGAGUAGAGAUGGCCAGGAGGGAAGAUCUCAAAAUGCUCGCAAUCAUCGUUUAGCCCCUUCAUCUCUGAUGAUAUCCACACCGACCCUGCCAAUUUCAAGGACAUGAGCUGGGGGGUGACACCAAUAGCGUCACGAGCAGCGAUGAAGCUACGAUCGCGUGUGUCGAACAAGACGAAGGAGAAGACACCAUCCAGCAUGUCAACGAAAUUCUCUCCGUGCUCCUCGUACUAUACAAUGGUGACUGACCAGGUGUGCGAUGACCUCACAGUCGCUGCCGGUCCUGAAGGUGUGGGAAGAGAGCUGCUCCCGGAGCUCUUCAUGGUUAUAGAUCUCCCCGUUCACCUGCAAGAAAGAAAAGAGCCCCCUUCCUUUCUUUAGCACACAACCAAACCAGAGCGGCUGGUCGCCGGAGGCGGGGUCGAUGAUGGCGAGGCGCUGGUGGGAGAGGUAGCAGUCGUCGACCUGGUGCAUGCCGCUCCAGUCGGGGCCGCGGUGCUUGAGCCUGCGCGAGAGCUCCAGGACAUGUGCCCUCUUCCCCUGGGUGUCAUCGGCGCAGCCCAGCACCGCCAGUAUGCCGCACAUUUUGACCGAAUCGACGGCAGCAAGGCAAUGCCUAACAAGGAAAGAGCUCUGUGCCGCUCUGUGUUUGCUUUGGUGUUGAAUGUUGUGGAGUUGCUGAUGGAGAAGAGUGGCAUAGGAGGGUCCUAUUUAUAGCCUGCCAAGAGCUUGGGAGCCUCGGAGUGAGGAGCUAGCUAAGCUGUAGCGGGCGCCGGGUUGCUUGGUCACCGCGCUAGACCAGCCAGAGCUUGUUGCAUGGCAAUUGCACAUGGCUACGUUAUUGUAGUAUGUGUUCUAUUCAAUCUUUUCCUUUUCUUUUUGUUGGGAUCUUGUGAUGACUCAUCUGAUCCUGAUUGACACCUCAUCAUCUCCCCACACAUUAUUUUAUUUAUUUUUACCCAUCUCCCCCCGAUGGGCCUUAUUUUCAUUCGAAGAAGCAUAUCUGUUUGUUUAUCUGAAAUUCUGAAGGAAUGAUUGUGGAUUGUGACACA